GUUGCGUUUUGCUUUGACAGCGAUUCGGAAAGUUCUGUAAUUCAUGACAACCAAGAGAAUCGUUUCAGUUCCCAAGGUUAGAGAAGCCCCGCCGUAGUAGAUCGCCCUGAAACCUUUGAAGAAUCGAAAUGUCAGUGCAACAAUGUACAGCAACUGCAUCAUAACUGAAAGUGCCAACAGCCGUCGUUUCGUCACAUGGAUUUUGUGAAAGAAUGGUCGCGUUAUUGCGAG